ensembl:lncRNA
CUGAAAUUAGUUCACAGAUAUUUGCAUGUUUUAUAUAUACAUUAUAUAUGCAAGAAGAUGAAUAGAAUACAGAAAAAGAGGAGAUGUUCUUUUAAUGUGAAACACAUUUUUUGUCUUCCCACAGCAUGAGGAUAAGUUUACGACAGGGACACAAAAACAAUUUUUAUGAUGAUCCAGGAUACAGAAGACCGAGCCCUCAUUUAUUAAACAGACUGCCCUUUAGCCUACCAAAUGUUGUUUCCAUGGAUCAUAUAUCUUUCAAACAUUCUACUGUAAGACAUCAAAAAAUGGAAUUUGAUAAAUGUGAUUAUUUUUUCUUUGCAAGCAUACUACUGGUAGAAGAAGUGUUAACAACAGUUUGUGGUUAAAUCAAUCGAUGUGACACCCCCGUCAUCCCGCUCCCCCAGACCCCAAGGUCAGAAAAGGAAGAAGUGCUUUAUGUGCCAGAGCAGAGACCACACUGAAGGAGACUGUUCUUGACACCCUGUAAGACUACAGCCCAUAGAGGACCCC